UUCUCACGAAUGUGGUCAGACCCUGGCCACAAUAGUACAUGUAAACAUCCCACCAAUGUUUAUACCAAAUACUAACAAGUCCUUUGACUUUACUAUAGGUUGGAUUCAUGACCACCAACUCAAUAGAAGGGCGAGAGAGCUCACAGUCAGAACACAAGUGAUUGGCCCCAUUUAUAUACCACAUGUUAACAGAAUUUAUCCAUCUAACAUAACAAUACAAGAGGUUGCUGACAUGUUUACUGUUGUGUGUAUAGAAAUGAUAGCCACAACCCACAAGGCCACAAGCCAUAUAUUACCAGUGCCAAAGCUUUCUUCACCA
rnacentral:misc_RNA from 1 species